GAUGGAUGGAGCUUGUGGCCCAGCUUGGUAAAUCUGAGCUUACUGUUUGGUUUUCGGUUGCUGCUGCUGAAUGUGGGUGGUGUGGAUCAUCAGUUUUGGGGGCCUGAUUGCUGCCUUGGCUUGUUUUGCACUCAAAAGAAGUGUUGUUGGCUGACUCUUAUUAGCUUGAGGUGUGAUUGAAGAAGGUCAUGAAGCUUGAGGCAAUGAAGAUGAUGGAUGGACCCGUUCGUUGAUUAGUUAGGUCUUUUCAUAAUUGUGAAUAGUAGCAAACAAAUGAUAGGUUGGUUUGUUUGUCGUGGAACAUGUCGGUUUGGAGUAGCAAGUAACUAGCUAGCUCUUGAGAUUAAAAUCCUGGUAUCUCACAGUUGUACUGCUCACACAAUAUAUUGGUGAUAUCUCAGUUAUAAUACCAUACACAAUUGUUAUGGUCCUCAAUCUCCGGCUACCAAACGUGUUAUGCUGCCGAAAUUUCCAGAAGAAAUUCCUCCGACUUGUUAAAAUUUUGGCCUUGUUUGUAAGGAAAGAAAACCUUUAGGGUGUUGACUGCUUCAAGUUUUCAAAAUCUAGGGGGUUUGAGGUAGAUAAAUUGGUCUCUUUUGUCGACUUCCGGAGUUCUAGGGGGCUUCUAUGACAGUUCUUCGCCCACAAAUCUUCCGGGGUGCGAUUGACAUCCAAAUAUGAUGUAGAGGUCCAACAAAAUACCAAUACUUUCACAAAAUGUACCCAUUUUUCAAUUUUAUUCAUAAAUUUCGAAAGUGCUUGAGUUUCAAAUUAUGUUGACAUUUGAAAAAAUAAUUUUAGAAAAUGUUCCCAUUUUUAUAAAAACAUCAUAGAUACAAAGAUUGUUUACUUUUUCCAAAAAAUGUUCGUGUUUUUAAAAAAAUAAAAAAUUCUUCCUUUUUUACUAUUUUUUCAUAAAUGCACAAAAGUGUUUAAGUUUUUGAAUAAUCUUAGCAUUUUUCACAAUUAUUUAGAAAAUUAAAAAAGUUCCUUUUUUCAAGUUUUGUCCCAAUUUAAAAAAUGUUUGAACUUCUCAAAAAAGUUCAAAAAUUUGCUCGCGUUGUUUAGAAAGGAUAUUUAAAAGAUAUUUACCUUUGAAAAAAUUAUUCUUAUUUUGGCAGGAAAUUUUCAACAGUGUUAGGACCCGCCAAGUAAUUCAGUUCUUAAACUAUCAUGUUGCAUAGUCAUCACUUAUACCUGUCAAGGCAAUUGGCUACCUGUAGCACGCACUCAUCUUGUCAGGAGUUCUAUUCCUGUUGGAAGAAGCAUUUUUUGGAUUUUUACAUCGCACAAGUACGGAUCACGGUCGCCGCAUCACUCGCCCACGAGCAGCAGUCAAGGGUUCUGCAUGUGCGUCGGCGCCCUAUUUGUAGGAAAAUACGACACAUAGGAGCUCCCGGCAAUUAGUCAUGCAGAUCCUAAAUUAUUCAAGUGACUAACUUUUANNNNNNNNNNNNNNNNNNNNNNNNNNNNNNNNNNNNNNNNNNNNNNNNNNNNNNNNNNNNNNNNNNNNNNNNNNNNNNNNNNNNNNNNNNNNNNNNNNNNNNNNNNNNNNNNNNNNNNNNNNNNNNNCUUGGAUCCGUCCCUAAGCCUACAUACUGCUCGACAAUGUGAGAACGAAGGUGAUGGCAUGCUUGGAGUAAGCCUAGUUGGUCGGGCGCCCCACCGGUACUCGUAUAGGCUUGUUGGUUCACUCCCAAUUCAUUGGCUUUCAACAUGUCAUCCAAAAAAAUUAGAGACGUCCACCCCAAUGCAUUAUCUCUUAGGUGUUCUAUCCAACUAAUGUCACAUUUAAUUAGUUUAGGCAUAUAUUUGCAGUUCGACAUUUUGGUUUAGAUGUGAAGAGAAGAGAAGGGAAUGAGAGAAAGAUAGGAAGAGAUACCACAACAUAUCAGAGUAGAAUUAUCCUCUCUCCCUUCUUUAACUAUGAUGCCACCUCAACAUUUUACCUAUAAAAUAUGCUAAACAAUAAGCAUUGGGCAUUGGGGAGUGCCCUUAGCGACCUAUGGUGGUCGGAUGCGGCAUAAGGUGUCAUGGAGCUAGGGGGACUUGGAGGACGUGGAGAGUCAAAGGAGUACCACACGUCCACACGGAGGUGGAUGCCAAGGUAGAUGUGGAACCCUAGCCAGUACNNNNNNNNNNNNNNNNNNNNNNNNNNNNNNNNNNNNNNNNNNNNNNNNNNNNNNNNNNNNNNNNNNNNNNNNNNNNNNNNNNNNNNNNNNNNNNNNNNNNNNNNNNNNNNNNNNNNNNNNNNNNNNNNNNNNNNNNNNNNNNNNNNNNNNNNNNNNNNNNNNNNNNNNNNNNNNNNNNNNNNNNNNNNNNNNNNNNNNNNNNNNNNNNNNNNNNNNNNNNNNNNNNNNNNNNNNNNNNNNNNNNNNNNNNNNNNNNNNNNNNNNNNNNNNGCCAAACAUAUUAGUGCUAAACACGUUAGGCUAUAAACAUUAUGGCAACCUAUCAAAGGCAUUUCGAUCGUUUGGAUUUAUGGAAUUGCUGCCUUUUAGAUUAUUUAUUUAUUCCAUCUCUCUACACGACUAACAAAAUUCUAGCCGAAAAUCGUCAUUUGCAUAAUCCCAAGCCUCGGUAAAAUGUUGACGACCCUAAAAAGGGUCAAUCCAACCUCAACCUAUUCAAAGGGAAUCUCGCACCAUCCAGUGCUUGGAAACCAGUAUCGUUGGAUGUUGAAGAAUGGCGGACCAUUUCGUUGUAUCUCUUUAACAACCUAAUAGAAGUGCGGCUGUACAUCUAGUAAGAUCUCGGUACAAUGUUUCGCAACUUCUAAUUUCUUUGAACUGCUCUUAUUCCUGGAUAUUUGAUGCAGUCGAUACGUCGCCAUAUUCUCGUAUGGAACGGUGAUCCAAAAGGAUUCCUUCGAAGAGUAUGAGCUUCUGGCAAAGCAAGGAGGCGAAUAUCCCGGUUUCAUCUCUUGGUUCAAGAAAAUGGUAAUUUCCAUUAGACCCUUUCAUUUCUUUGACUAAUUUGCGACUAAUGCAACAAUCCUUUCGUGCUAAACUUGUAGGCUAAUUGAGAGAUUAUGGAUGCGAAUUGAGACAACUAGCUAAUGGUUUUGACUAUAAGGUCCGUUCAUUUGACAAUUACGACAUUAACGGGUAUUUCUUUUGUACCUAUGGAAAAGAACUAUCUAUGGCCGUCCGAAAGUCUACAAAUUGUUGUGUCUCUGCUAUCGGCGAAGGAGGUAUUGAGUAUUAUGGAAGACUUGAAGCAAUUUAUGAACUUCAAUUCUAUGGUGAAAACCCACCAAAUGUCGAGAUAGGCAGUCAUCCUCCAUUGUUUUCUCCUUGAUCUUUUUCUGUCAGCAACGACGCUGGUUGCAUACUCUCUCCCCUGUGUUUGUUUCAACUGGGCCGCGUUAUUCUGGGAGUCUAUGUUGCCUGCCUACCGAAAUUGCCACUACUUUGGGCCCUUCUUUGGUCUCCUUGAUUCGUGGUUGGCAUGCCAUUAGAUCCUGUGCUAACAAACACUGGACUUAUUUGUUUGUUCAAUUUGGAUCAGCACACUCGACUCCAUGGACGAUGGUCGGGACCCCAUGCCCAAGAUGACGAGGAGAACAUCAUCGUGUCCUACCUUGACAUGGAUGGCACCUCACACAAGGUUGAUUUCCUUCUUUGCUUGCAUUCAUAAAGGUUUCUUCUAGUACUGUGUAUGUAUGUAUGUAUAUAUGUUACAGAAUAAUAAGUAGCUCGGUAAGGAUUGGGUUGGGCUGCAUGCCUAGUUUGUAUUCUGCAUGGUUGUGAAUCAAAAGUACCAGGGCUAUGCUGGUUUGGGUGAGCUUUGUCAUGUGUUCGGUUUACUGCUUGAUUGGUGCCACUAGACAAAAUUAUGUAAUUUGCAUCAUGAGGUCUCAGGCUAGUCCAACUAUGGUAUCAAUUUGAAUCAUGAGAUUUGGUCUGGCUACAUGAUGCAUGUGUUCUUCCUGAUGGUCGCUUAGUACCUAACAAAUGAAGGAAUUCCCUCUUGUUCAAUGAUGCUAUAACUGAUAAACAUUCUGUGCAUUCAUUCGAAAGUGAGAGAGAUCUUCAUCUGUUUGUUGCAUAUAGCUUGAAGCUCGCUCAAGUUUCUUUUUUUGUGGUAGCGAGACGGCAGGAUCGACUGUCUGCUUAACAACUCUGGUGCUUUAUUAUUAUGGAUAAUGUUCAGCUACCUAUUUGCAUUUAUUGUUACGACAUUUUUGUGGUAGUAAGACGACAGGAUUGACUGUCUGCUUAACCACUCUGUAGUGUUUGAUUUCUCAGAUUAAACAUGGAUCACAAUCAUUAAGAUGUUUCUUCAUGUAGCACUGAGAAGAAUAGGCUUCUUGUGUCAGUAGCUUUUUCCUAUAAUGAUGAGUAGAAUAGGCUUCUUGUGGCUUUAGCAUGUUCCUGUAAUGCCGAGAACAAUAAGCUUCUUGUAGCUAUAGCAUUUUCCUAUAACACUGAGACAAACCUCCUUGUAGAUAUAGUUUUCUUGUAGUGCUGAGAACAAUAGACCUCCUUGUAGUUGUAGCUUUCCUGUAGUGCUGAGAACAAAUAAGAGUUGUGCUGAGAACAAGAAAUUCUUGGAUAAUAAUCGUGGUAACCUGCCGCUUUCCUUUUGAUGUUGAAAGAGGUAGAUCUACAGUUGUUUGCAUUGAUGUUGCCGCUCAGCUUUGCUAUGAUUUCAAUGAAGAUUAAUCAGUGUGGUCACCUAUUCUUUUAUUGGUUUAUGGUCUUGACAAAAUUAAUCCAAGGUAAUCAGAUCAAGUUAGUACUAUUUUGGGGUACCUGUUAUCUAUAUGUUUGGUUAUAUGAUAGUCAUCCCCAGUAAAACUAGGAAUACAAAUGAUGCCUGGCUGACUUACCAAUUACUUGAUUAUAUCUCUUUCAUUUACAAGAGACAAUAUUCAUUGUGUUCUUAACUCCCAAUGCUCUGUUUUCAUGUCUAGUUUUAUCACCACUGAACUAAUCGGUACCUUUGAGCGGAGCUCUCAGCUCAAUCCUCCCAUUAAUGAGCGAGCAGUAGGUUCUAUUAUGCAUGUUUUCACUACCAGCAACGAACUAUCUUUUUUGGGUAACUUGCUGUUUUUUAGCCUAUUAUGUGCAUGUUGUGCUGAUAAGGGAUUUGUCGGUUAUAUUUGUCUGGCCAGUCUAAUAUGUACUUCAGAAUCGCUUCUGUUAGAUUUCAACAUUUGUCCCAAGAUUUUUGGUGGCACAAACAAUGAUUGUUGUCAGUGUGUGAAAGGCUGACCUCCUGUUGAGCCCAAUGAUAGAACAACUAUCUAAUGGGUUGUAUUGUGUUCAAGGGUUCAUUUCACUGUGCUGCAAACAUCCAGAAUGCUUAUUUUCUUAUCUUCGGCGUAUAAUUUGUUGUAUUGUGUUGAUUUCAUCUAGAAUAAAUCGAGUUUUGUGAGACUAGGGUCUGUCUAUAUCCUGUGGAUACCUAUAUUUGCCGCCUUUUGUUUGCUUUGAAUGGGACACCACCUAAUAUUAUCAGUAAAUCGACUUCAUGAGUGCUAUUGUACUAGAUUUCUAAAACUGAGAGAAGGCCUAAUUCUAAUGUGGUGUGAUGCACUUUUUAGUUUUUUAGGAUUCUGGAAGAGUUUGACUUGACAGUCCUUAGUCAAUUCUAUUGCGUAUUGCAGAUUGACAUUCACUAUAAUCAUGGUGACUGUGCGUUGCAUUUUAGAUGUAUUGUCUAGUUCUUCUUUUAUAUUCCAACAAGUGUGAAUAAUAAUAGUUGUAAUCCACUUCUGGACUUUUUCUUCUUGGCUAAUAAUAUUUGUAUUGUUGCGUAGAACUGUAGUUGUAAGUUCACUUACAUCUUAGUAAGGAUGUAAUAUUAAGUCAGCAUUCAUUUAUUGAGUUUUUAAGUUUAGUGGAUUACAUUUACUUGAAUCUGCAUUUCAGGAUGUUGAGUUCGAUCAGAAUGACACCACAUUGCCACAUUGCUUUCAAACAGAAGCCUUUGUUGGCUGGGUAGGGCAAGGUGAACAUGCCUUCGAGGCACGACUCCAUGGACGAUGAGUGGGACCCCAUGUCCAAGCUUACAAGGAGGACAUCGUCAAGUCUGACCUCCACCUGGAUGGCGCUUCGCACAAGGUUGAUCUCCUUCUUUGCUUGCAUUCAUAAAUGUUUCUUCCUAUAGCACCGAGAAGAAUAGGCUUCUCGUGGCAGUAGCUUUUUCCUAUAAUGCUGAAAAGAAUAGACUUCUUGUAGCUUAAGCAUGUUCCUGCAAUGCUGACAACAAUAGACUUGUAGCUGUAGCAUCUUCAUAUAAUGCUGAAAAACCAAACCUCCCUACAGAUGUAGCUUUCUUCUAGUGUUGAGAACAAUAGACCUCUUUGUAGUUGUAGCUUUCCUCUAGUGUUGUGAACAAUAGACCUCCUUAUGGUUGUAGCUUUCCUCUAGUGCCGAGAACAAAUAAGAGUUGUGCUGAGAACAAUAAAUUCUUGGAUAACAUUCGUGGAAACCUGCUACUUUUCUUUUGAUGUACGCAAAUGAUGACACACAUGAAUAGCAAGCAACCAUCUUAGCACCUAUCUAUUUCAAAGAUGUUGUAUUUUUUUACUGGGUAUACGAUAUCAUUCUUGUGUUACAAAGUUCAUCUGUAAAAGUUGGGCUGCUUACUUUCUAGGAGCAGAUUCUGUAAUCUUUUCCUCUUCUUUUACCAGAAGUUGACUAGUUUUAUUACUGACAUGCCAAUAUUAUUCGGACGGUGACAGCCGACGACCCAGCUGGUGUGCCAUGGGAUUCUAUUCAUUCCAAGUUGCUACACCUUUGGCUCGGGCAUGUUCAACAUGGAUGGCAUCAGUUGAAUCUCGCUGAGCACCAGGGUGCAAGUACAUGGCUAUUGCCGGUAAGAAUUUCGCCCAAGCUUGAUUCUGAAAUUAUUAUUUGCCGAGAUAGGCAGUCAUCCUCCAUUGUUUUCUUCUUGAUCUUUUCUAUCAGCAACGAUGUUGGUUGCAUGCACUCGUGAGGAUCACCACCAUCAAGUCCACCUAUUGCGAGGUGACUACUCUCUCCCCCUGUGUUUGUUUCAACUUGGUCGCGUUAUUCUGGUAGUCUAUGUUGCCUGUCUACCGAAAUUGCCACUACUUUGGGCCCUUCUUUGGUCUCCUUGGUUUGUGGUUGGCAUGCCAUUAGAUCCUGUGUUAACAAACACUGAACAUGACAUGGUACCGCUGACAUCAUAGUUGACGUUGGUAAUUUUCUUGUGGUGUGGCCAUCAACCAAUGGAGUGCAUAUUUAGACUUUUAGGCUAUGUGAUUUUUCCUGCUAUAAAAUGUGUGUGGUGCAUAUUGUUAUUUUUGCUGCUCUGUAAAAUUUUACAUUGCUUUGGAAUGAUAUAUGGAGGCCACUAGUUAAUCUUGCUUCUUCCUCUUUCUCUGGCCAGGUCACUUGGAACUUUGAUAUAGCGAAGGGCGAGAAGACCGAUGGAUGGAGCUUGUGGCCCAUCUUGGUAAAUCUGAGCUUACUGUUUGGUUUUCGGUUGCUGCUGCUGAAUGUGGGUGGUGUGGAUCAUCAGUUUUGGGGGCAUGGUUGCUGCCUUGGCUUGUUUUGCACUCAAAAGAAGUGUUGUUGGCUGACUCUUAUUAGCUUGAGGUGUGAUUGAAGAAGGUCAUGAAGCUUGAGGCAAUGAAGAUGAUGGAUGGACCCGUUCGUUGAUUAGUUAGGUCUUUUCAUAAUUGUGAAUAGUAGCAAACAAAUGAUAGGUUGGUUUGUUUGUCGUGGAACAUGUCGGUUUGGAGUAGCAAGUAGCUAGCUAGCUCUUGAGAUUAAAAUCCUGGUAUCUCACAGUUGUACUGCUCACACAAUAUAUUGGUGAUAUCUCAGUGAUAAUACCAUACACAAUUGUUAUGGUCCUCAAUCUCUGGCUACCAAACGUGUUAUGCUGCCGAAAUUUCCAUCAGAAAUUCCUCCGACUUGUUAAAAUUUUGGCCUUGUUUGUAAGGAAACAAAACCUUUAGGGUGUUGACUGCUUCAAGUUUUCAAAAUCUAGGGGGUUUGAGGUAGAUAAAUUGGUCUCUUUUGUCGACUUCCGGAGUUCUAGGGGGCUUCUAUGACAGUUCUUCGCCCACAAAUCUUUCGGGGUGCCAUUGACAUCCAAAUAUGAUGUAGAGGUCCAACAAAAUACCAAUACUUUUAGAAAACGUACCCAUUUUUCAAUUUUAUUCAUAAAUUUCGAAAGUGCUUGAGUUUCAAAUUAUGUUGACAUUUAAAAAAAUAAUUUUAGAAAAUGUUCCCAUUUUUAUAAAAAAAUCAUAGAUACAAAGAUUGUUUACUUUUUCCAAAAAAUGUUCAUGUUUUCAAAAAAAUAGAAAAUUCUUCCUUUUUUACUAUUUUUUCAUAAAUGCACAAAAGUGUUUAAGUUUUUGAACAAUCUUAGCAUUUUUUACAAUUAUUUAGAAAUUUUAAAAAAAGUUCCUUUUUUCAAGUUUUGUCCCAAUUUAAAAAAUGUUUGAACUUCUCAAAAAAGUUCAAAAAUUUGCUCGCGUUGUUUAGAAAGGAUAUUUAAAAGAUAUUUAUCUUUGAAAAAAAUAUUCUUAUUUUGGCAGGAAAUUUUCAACAGUGUUAGGACCCGCCAAGUAAUUCAGUUCUUAAACUAUCAUGUUGCAUAGUCAUCACUUAUACCUGUCAAGGCAAUUGGCUACCUGUAGCACGCACUCAUCUUGUCUGGAGUUCUAUUCCUGUUGGAAGAAGCAUUUUUUGGAUUUUUACAUCGCACAAGUACGGAUCACGGUCGCCGCAACACUCGCCAACGAGCGGCCCAGUCAAGGGUUCUGCAUGUGCGUCGGCGCCCUAUUUGCAGGAAAAUACGACACAUAGGAGCUCCCGGCAAUUAGUCAUGCAGAUCCUAAAUUAUUCAAGUAACUAACUUUUAUUAAAGGAAGAAACAAAUUGAUGGAGGGGGCUCGCUCCUGCUAGCCCCCCCCCCCCAGUCCCCCUUGGCUCCGUCCCUAAGCCUACAUACAGCUCGACAAUGUGAGAACGAAGGCGAUGGCAUGCUUGGAGUAAGCCUAGUUGGUCGGACGCCCCACUGGUACUCGUGUAGGCUUGUUGGUUCACUCCCAAUUCAUUGGCUUUCAACAUGUCAUCCAAAAAAUUAGAGACGUCCACCCCAAUGCAUUAUCUCUUAGGUGUUCUAUCCAACUAAUGUCACAUUUAAUUAGUUUAGGCAUAUAUUUGCAGUUCGACAUUUUGGUUUAGAUGUGAAGAGAAGAGAAGGGAAUGAGAAAAAGAUAGGAAUAGAUACCACAACAUAUCAGAGUAGAAUUAUCCUCUCUCCCUUCUUUAACUAUGAUACCACCUCAACAUUUUACCUAUAAAAUAUGCUAAACGAUAAGCAUUGGGCAUUGGGGAGUGCCCUUAGCGACCUAUGGUGGUCGGAUGCGGCAUAAGGUGUCAUGGAGCUAGGGGGACUUGGAGGACGUGGAGAGUCAAAGGAGUACCACACGUCCACACGGAGGUGGAUGCCAAGGUAGAUGUGGAACCCUAGCCGGUACACACAUCUCUCUCUCUCCCUCCCUCUCUCUCUCUCUCUCUCUCUGGGGCACAAGAGGAGUAUUUGAUGUGGAGUGCCAAACAUAUUAGUGCUAAACACGUUAGGCUAUAAACAUUAAGGCAACCUAUCAAAGGCAUUUCGAUCGUUUGGAUUUAUGGAAUUGUUGCCUUUUAGAUUAUUUAUUUAUUCCAUCUCUCUACACGACUAACAAAAUUCUAGCCAAAAAUCGUCAUUUGCAUAAUCCCAAGCUUCGGUACAAUGUUGACGACCCUAAAAAGGGUCAAUCCAACCUCAACCUAUUCAAAGGGAAUCUCGCACCAUCCAGUGCUUGGAAACCAGCAUCGUUGGAUGUUGAAGAAUGGCGGACCAUUUCGUUGUAUCUCUUUAACAACCUAACAGAAGUGCGGCUGUACAUCGAGUAAGAUCUUGGUACAAUGUUUCGCAACUUCUAAUUUCUUUGAACUGCUCUUAUUCCUGGAUAUUUGAUGCAGUCGAUACGUCGCCAUAUUCUGGUAUGGAACGGUGAUCCAAAAGGAUUCCUUCGAAGAGUAUGAGCUUCUGGCAAAGCAAGGAGGCGAAUAUCCCGGUUUCAUCUCUUGGUUCAAGAAAACGGUAAUUUCCAUUAGACCCUUUCAUUUUUUUGACUAAUUUGCGACUAAUGCAACAAUCCUUUCGUAUUAAACUUGUAGGCUAAUUCAGAGAUUAUGGAUGCGAAUUGAGACAACUAGCUAAUGGUUUUGACUAUAAGGUCCGUUCAUUUGACAAUUACGACAUUAACAGGGUAUUUCUUUUGUACCUAUGGAAAAGAGCUAUCUUUGGCCGUCCGAAAGUCUACAAAUUGUUGUGUCUCUGCUCUCGGCGAAGGAGGUAUCGAGUAUUAUGGAAGAGUUGAAGCAAUUUAUGAACUUCAAUUCUAUGGUGAAAACCCACCAAAUGUCGAGAUAGGCAGUCAUCCUCCAUUGUUUUCUUCUUGAUCUUUUUCUGUCAGCAGCGACGCUGGUUGCAUACUCUCUCCCCUGUGUUUGUUUCAACUGGGCCCCGUUAUUCUGGGAGUCUAUGUUGCCUGCCUACCGAAAUUGCCACUACUUUGGGCCCUUCUUUGGUCUCCUUGAUUCGUGGUUGGCAUGCCAUUAGAUCCUGUGCUAACAAACACUGGACUUGUUUGUUUGUCCAAUUUGGAUCAGCACACUCGACUCCAUGGACGAUGGCCGGGACCCCAUGCCCAAGAUGACGAAGAGAACAUCAUCGGGUCCUACCUUGACAUGGAUGGCACCUCACACAAGGUUGAUUUCCUUCUUUGCUUGCAUUAAUAAAGGUUUCUUCUAGUACUGUGUAUGUAUGUAUGUAUAUAUGUUACAGAAUAAUAAGUAGCUCGGUCAGGAUUGGGUUGGGCUGCAUGCCUAGUUUGUAUUCUGCAUGGUUGUGAAUCAAAAGUACCAGGGCUGUGCUGGGUUGGGUGAGCUUUGUCAUGUGUUCGGUUUACUGCUUGAUUGGUGCCACUAGACAAAAUUAUGUAAUUUGCGUCAUGAGGUCUCAGGCUAGUCCAAUUGUGGUAUCAAUUUGAAUCAUGAGAUUUGGUCUAGCUACAUGAUGCACGUGUUCUUCCUGAUGGUCGCUUAGUAGCUAACGAAUGAAGGAAUUCCCUCUUGUUCAAUGAUGCUAUAACUGAUAAACAUUAUGUGCAUUCAUUCGAAAGUGAGAGAGAUCUUCAUCUGUUUGUUGCAUAUAGCUUGAAGCUCGCUCAAGUUUCUUUUUUUGUGGUAGCGAGACGGCAGGAUCGACUGUUUGCUUAACAACUCUGGUGCUUUAUUAUUAUGGAUAAUGUUCAGCUACCUAUUUGCAUUUAUUGUUACGACAUUUUUGUGGUAGUAAGACGACAGGAUUGACUGUCUGCUUAACCACUCUGUAGUGUUUGAUUUCUCAGAUUAAACAUGGAUCACAAUCAUUAAGAUGUUUCUUCAUGUAGCACUGAGAAGAAUAGGCUUCUUGUGUCAGUAGCUUUUUCCUAUAAUGAUGAGUAGAAUAGGCUUCUUGUGGCUUUAGCAUGUUCCUGUAAUGCCGAGAACAAUAGGCUUGUUGUAGCUAUAGCAUUUUCCUAUAACACUGAGACAAACCUCCUUGUAGAUAUAGUUUUCUUGUAGUGCUGAGAACAAUAGACCUCCUUGUAGUUGUAGCUUUCCUGUAGUGCUGAGAACAAAUAAGAGUUGUGCUGAGAACAAGAAAUUCUUGGAUAAUAAUCGUGGCAACCUGCUGCUUUCCUUUUGAUGUUGAAAGAGGUAGAUCUACAGUUGUUUGCAUUGAUGUUGCCGCUCAGCUUUGCUAUGAUUUCAAUGAAGAUUAAUCAGCGUGGUCACCUAUUCUUUUAUUGGUUUUUGGUCUUGACAAAAUUAAUCCAAGGUAAUCAGAUCAAGUUAGUACUAUUUUGGGGUACCUGUUAUCUAUAUGUUUGGUUAUAUGAUAGUCAUCCCCAGUAAAACUAGGAAUACAAAUGAUGACUGGCUGACUUACCAAUUACUUGAUUAUAUCUCUUUCAUUUACAAGAGACAAUAGUCAUUGUGUUCUUAACUCCCAAUGCUCUGUUUUCAUGUCUAGUUUUAUCACCACUGAACUAAUCGGUACCUUUGAGCGGAGCUCUCAGCUCAAUCCUCCCAUUAAUGAGCGAGCAGUAGGUUCUAUUAUGCAUGUUUUCACUACCAGCAACGAACUAUCUUUUUUGGGUAACUUGUUGUUUUUUAGCCUAUUAUGUGCAUGUUGUGCUGACAAGGGAUUUGUCGGUUAUAUUUGUCUGGCCAGUCUAAUAUGUACUUCAGAAUCGCUUCUGUUAGAUUUCAACAUUUGUCCCAAGAUUUUUGGUGGCACAAACAAUGAUUGUUGUCAGUGUGUGAAAGGCUGACCUCCUGUUGAGCCCAAUGAUAGAACAACUAUCUAAUGGGUUGUAUUGUGUUCAAGGGUUCACUUCACUGUGCUGCAAACAUCCAGAAUGCUUAUUUUCUUAUCUUCGGCAUAUAAUUUGUUGUAUUGUGUUGAUUUCAGCUAGAAUAAAUCGAGUUUUGUGAGACUAGGGUCUGUCUAUAUCCUGUGGAUACCUAUAUUUGCCGCCUUUUGUUUGCUUUGAAUGGGACACCACCUAAUAUUAUCAGUAAAUCGACUUCAUGAGUGCUAUUGUACUAGAUUUCUAAAACUGAGAGAAGGCCUAAUUCUAAUGUGGUGUGAUGCACUUUUUAGUUUUUUAGGAUUUUGGAAGAGUUUGACUUGACAGUCCUUAGUCAAUUCUAUUGUGUAUUGCAGAUUGACAUUCAUUAUAAUCAUGGUGACUGUGCGUUGCAUUUUAGAUGUAUUGUCUAGUUCUUUGACCAUCUUUUAUAUUCCAACAAGUGUGAAUAAUAAUAGUAGUAAUCCACUUCUGGACUUUUUCUUCUUGGCUAAUAAUAUUUGUAUUAUUGCGUAGAACUGUAGUUGUAAGUUCACUUACAUCUUAGUAAGGAUGCAAUAUUAAGUCAGCCUUCAUUUAUUGAGUUUUUAAGUUUAGUGGAUUACAAUUACUUGAAUCUGCAUUUCAGGCUGUUGAGUUUGAUCAGAAUGACACCACAUUGCCACAUUGCUUUCAAACAGAAGCCUUUGUUGGCUGGGCAGGGCAAGGUGAACGUGCCUUGGAGGCACGACUCCAUGGACGAUGACCGGGACCCCAUGUCCAAGCUUACGAGGAGGACAUCGUCAAGUCUGACCUCCACCUGGAUGGCGCUUCGCACAAGGUUGAUCUCCUUCUUUCCUUGCAUUCAUUAAUGGUUCUUCCUGUAGCACCGAGAAGAAUGGGCUUCUCGUGGCAGUAGCUUUUUCCUAUAAUGCUGAAAAGAAUAGACUUCUUGUAGCUUAAGCAUGUUCCUGCAAUGCAGACAACAAUAGACUUGUAGUUGUAGCAUCUUCAUAUAAUACUGAAAAAACCAAACCUCCCUACAGAUGUAGCUUUCUUCUUGUGUUGAGAACAAUAGACCUCUUUGUAGUUGUAGCUUUCCUCUAGUGUUGUGAACAAUAGACCUCCUUGUGGUUGUAGCUUUCCUCUAGUGCCGAGAACAAAUAAGAGUUGUGCUGAGAACAAUAAAUUCUUGGAUAACAUUCAUGGAAACCUGCUAGUUUUCUUUUGAUGUACGCAAAUGAUGACACACAUGAAUAGCAAGCAACCAUCUUAGCACCUAUCUAUUUCAAAGAUGUGUUAUUUUUUUUACUGGGUAUAUGAUAUCAUUCUUGUGUUACAAAGUUCAUCUGUAAAAGUUGGGCUGCUUACUUUCUAGGAGCAGAUUCUGUAAUCUUUUCCUCUUCUUUUACCAGAAGUUGACUAGUUUUAUUACUGACAUACCAAUAUUAUUAGGACGGUGACAGCCAACGACCCAGCUAGUGUGCCAUGGGAUUCCAUUCGUUCCAAGUUGCUACACCUUUGGCUCGGGCAUGUUCAACAUGGAUGGCAUUAGUUGAAUCUCGCUGAGCACUGGGGUGCAAGUACAUGGCUAUUGCCGGUAAGAAUUUCGCCCAAGCUUGAUUCUGAAAUGAUUAUUUGCCGAGAUAGGCAGUCAUCCUCCAUUGUUUUCUUCUUGAUCUUUUCUAUCAGCAACGAUGCUGGUUGCAUGCACUCGUGAGGAUCACCACCAUCAAGUCCACCUAUUGUCAGGUGACUACUCUCUCUCCCUGUGUUUGUUUCAACUUGGCCGCGUUAUUCUGGUAGUCUAUGUUGCCUGUCUACCGAAAUUGCCACUACUUUGGGCCCUUCUUUGGUCUCCUUGGUUUGUGGUUGGCAUGCCAUUAGAUCCUGUGUUAACAAACACUGAACAUGACAUGGUACCGCUGACAUCAUAGUUGACGUUGGUAAUUUUCUUGUGGUGUGGCCAUCAACCAAUGUAGUGCAUAUUUAGACUUUUAGGCUAUGUGACUUUUCCUGCUAUAAAAUGUGUGUGGUGCAUAUUGUUCUUUUUGCUGCUCUGUAAAAUUUUACAUUGCUUUGGAAUGAUAUAUGGAGGCCACUAGUUAAUCUUGCUUCUUCCUCUUUCUCUGGCCAGGUCACUUGGAACUUUGAUAUAGCGAAGGGCGAGAACACCGUUGGAUGGAGCUUGUGGCCCAGCUUGGUAAAUCUGAGCUUACUGUUUGGUUUUCGGUUGCUGCUGCUGAAUGUGGGUGGUGUGGAUCAUCAGUUUUGGGGGCCUGAUUGCUGCCUUGGCUUGUUUUGCACUCAAAAGAAGUGUUGUUGACUGACUCUUAUUAGCUUGAGGUGUGAUUGAAGAAGGUCAUGAAGCUUGAGGCAAUGAAGAUGAUGGAUGGACCCGUUCGUUGAUUAGUUAGGUCUUUUCAUAAUUGUGAAUAGUAGCAAACAAAUGAUAGGUUGGUUUGUUUGUCGUGGAACAUGUCGGUUUGGAGUAGCAAGUAGCUAGCUAGCUCUUGAGAUUAAAAUCCUGGUAUCUCACAGUUGUACUGCUCACACAAUAUAUUGGUGAUAUCUCAGUUAUAAUACCAUACACAAUUGUUAUGGUCCUCAAUCUCCGGCUACCAAACGUGUUAUGCU
rnacentral:lncRNA from 1 species